CACAAAUUGUGCAAUUUCAAUAUGGUUAUGUCACGUAGCAGUUUUGUAUCAGUGUGACCGUUAAAAUACGUUUUAUCAGUGUUUUCAUUUUAACUUUCUGGCGCCAGUUUUACCAGGCAGGCGGGCCGCGUCAUGUUACCUAUGUAACUUGUCGGAGUUUUCAGCGUCUUGUAAACGCUGUAUUUGUAUGUUUAGGAAGCAGAGGUAAUGUAAGAGGAGGCCAGGGGGCAAUUGAUGUGUGCAUUGUGUUCUGCAGAUGUGCGAGCCAAUAAAUCGUGGAAAAGAAGUGA